rnacentral:rRNA from 1 species
UACAGAGGCCACAAGCGUUAAUCGGAAUCACUGGGCUUAAAGGGUGCGUAGGCGGGUUCGUAAGUGCUUUGUGAAAGCCCUCGGCUCAACCGAGGAACUGCAGGGCAUACUGCGAAUCUUGAGGAAUCUAGAGGCCGGCAGAACGAUAGGUGGAGCGGUGGAAUGCGUAGAGAUCUAUCGGAAUGCCAAAGGUGAAGACAGCCGGCUGGGGAUUUCCUGACGCUGAGGCACGAAAGCGUGGGGAGCAAACAGG